rnacentral:lncRNA from 1 species
UACAGUAGGCAGCAGGGGACUUCUUCCUCUUGUUCCCUAGCUUCUUGCCCAACUGUGACAUGCAUUUACAAUACAUUUAGUUUUGUAUCAAGGGCUAUAAUCUACGUGCCAAUUAUAAUAUAGGGGACUUUAAUUGAUUCAACUCCCCCAUUUCCUAAAUCUUUUCUUUUCUUUCUUUUUUUCUUUUUCUAUUAAUUAACUCACCAUUUAUGUGUAUUAGGGACUCCCUUGCAUGAGUACAAGGUCCCCUUAGCUUAAUCUGGGCUUAAUACCCUAUUAUGGCAUGAAAUCCCCUAUUUUCCCACUCGGAUGAACAGUAACCCGGAC